rnacentral:rRNA from 1 species
ACACGUGGGUAACCUGCCUUAUAGUGGGGGAUAGCCUUUCGAAAGGAAGAUUAAUACCGCAUAAGAUUGUAGUAUCGCAUGAUAUAGCAAUUAAAGGAGCAAUUCGCUAUAAGAUGGACCCGCGUCGCAUUAGCUAGUUGGUGAGGUAAUGGCUCACCAAGGCGACGAUGCGUAGCCGACCUGAGAGGGUGAACGGCCACCAUUGGGACUGAGACACGGCCCAGACUCCUACGGGAGGCAGCAUG